rnacentral:rRNA from 1 species
GACGAACGCUGGCGGCGUGCUUAACACAUGCAAGUCGAACGGUGACCUCGAGAGCUUGCUCUCGAGUGAUCAGUGGCGAACGGGUGAGUAACACGUGAGUAACCUGCCCCAGACUCUGGAAUAACCCCGGGAAACCGGAGCUAAUACCGGAUACGAGCCGGAGUCGCAUGGCUACCGUCUGGAAAGUUUUUCGGUCUGGGAUGGACUCGCGGCCUAUCCGCUUGUUGGUGAGGUAACGGCUCACCAAGGCGACGACGGGUAGCCGGCCUGGGAGGGCUACCGGCCACACUGGGACUGAGACACGGCCCGGACUCCUACGGGAGGCGGCAGUGGGGAAUAUUGCACAAUGGGCGAAAGCCUGAUGCAGCGAAGCCGCGUGAGGGAUGACGGCCUUCGGGUUGUAAACCUCUUUCAGCAGGGAAGAAGCGAAAGUGACGGUACCUGCAGAAGAAGCACCGGCUAACUACGUGCCAGCCGCCGCAGUAACAC